GAGAUCUUCCAUCUCUUCAUUCAUUUUCUCUCUCUGCCUUUCUCCCAAAGAAACUUGCACCAUUUACAACACGGCAACGAAACCUGUGGAUCUGCAGCUACGAAUUGCAGAAGCCUGCAAGCCAGGAGUGGAUUACGGUAACUAAAGUUUACUCUGCUAGAUGAGGCAAUGGCUGUGCGUUGAUGUUAAUAGCAGCUGCAUCUGGUCAACCCUGGACAUUGUGCAGUGAUGUGGCUAAGGAAGUGGCUGAGCUAUCACUCCCAUGAGCCUGUAUGGCCAGUGCUCAGGAAUGAUGGGAGUUGUAGUUCAGGAGGUCUGGAGGUCAGCCCCUUCUGCUUCAAAGUCCUCACAGGUUUCAGUUGAAGAAUUAAAAGCAUACCUGUUUUUCUUAUUGAAGCAUGUGGGCUUUAAGGGUGCUGAAAUUAUGACUGCAUCAUAUCCUAUUAUUUAUUUAAGAUUUUUAAAGACUAUAAGGAAAUUCAAAUCCUAUACCCACUUGUAAGAGUCUUAGUCUUGGUGAACUCAAUAGGGAUUACUUCUGUGUAGCCAUGUAUAGAGAGUUGGGCAGCAAAGGGAGAAGAUUAAAUUCAAGAAUUUCUCCUUCAAAUCUGUACCCACUUACCUGGGAGUAAAACCUACUGAACUCAGUGAGAUUACUUCAGAGUAGGCAAUGUAGUCAGAGUAGAGAGAGUAGUCAAGAAGAUGGUUUUUGCACGUGCUGUAGAGGGAACUGAGGGGCAAGUCUCAUGAGAAGAGAAGACUCCCUGGAAAAGACCCUGAAGUUGGGAAAGAUUGAGGGCACAAGGAGAAGAGGAUGACAGAGGACGAGAUGGUUGGACAGUGUUCUCGAAGCUACAAACAUGAGUAUGACCAAACUGCAGGAGGCAGUGGAAGACAGGAGUGCCUGGCGUGCUCUGGUCCAUGGGGUCACGAAGAGUCGGACACGACUAAAUGACUAAACAACAACAAGAACUGGACCUGGAUAUUUGAGGAGGCUCUGGAUUUACUGGUGCCAAAAUGUAGUGUCUUUAGCAUCAGUGAUUAUCAGAUUAUCCCAGUAUGUAUCUGAGCACAAUUCGUAGUGUUGGUGCUGACCUUUAAAUUCCUAAGAGGCCUCAGCCCAGUAUACCUGAAGAAGCAUCUCCAACCCCAUUGUUCAGCCCGGACACUGAGGUCCAGCUCUGAGGGCCUUCUGGGGUUUCCCUCCCUGCAAGAAGUGAGGUUACAGGAAACCAGGCAGAGGGCCUUCUCGGUAGUGGUGUCCGCCCUGUGGAACACCCUCCCAUCAGAUGUCAAGGAAAUAAACAACUAUCUGACUUUUAGAAGACAUCUGAAGGCAGCCCUGUUUAGGGAAUUUUUUAAUGUUGGAUGUUUUAUCGUGUUUUUAAUAUUCUGCUGGGAGCCGCCCAGAGUGGUUUGGGAAUCCCAGCCAGAUGAGCGGGAUAGAAUAAAUAAAUAAAUAAAUAUUAUUAAUUGGAGUUAAGGGGUUUUUUGGUGGGGAAUCAUACAAAUUAUGCAGAAUCAUGCAAGUUCACUAGCUAUGUUAAGGCAUAUAUGAGGAAAACAUGCAGCCAUCUUAAUUAAAAUCUUUCUCUGUCUUCGUUUUUAAGUGUACAAGACCAAGCUGAUUCUAAUAGAAGAGGAAGGCGAUUAUAACAAUUAUAUCAUGGAAGUUCUGGAAAUCAUUAAAUCAGGUAAGAAUUUGCACCCUGAAGGGAAACUUGCCGUGGAUCCAAAAGUAGCAACAUUUACUUCAAAUAAGUAUUGAUUAAAAAUCUCACAUUAAGUCUCUAGGCCAUUGAUUUUCAGUCAGUCCGACAGGCAACCCUGGGUCUCCUCAGAAGCUUCCCUGAAAGAUGCCAUGCCCAGCACUAGGAACAAAGGAAACUUUUAGUAGCCAUUGAGACCAUUGGCCCAUCUAGUUCAAUAUUGUCUACACUGACUGGCAACAGCUCUGCAGGGUUUCAGGCGGGGGGGGCGGGGGGGGAAGAAAGGGGUGUCUCUCCUACAUCUACCUAGAUUGGACUAGGUAUCUUCUGCAUUCAAAGCAAGUGCUCUACCCCUGAACUGUGCCCACUUCCCCAUCACUGUUUGUCUUUUCUUCCCACCAGAGGUUGUUUCAGAAUGUACGUGUUCUGCAUCAUGCAAACCACGAGGAAAGGGUUUCUGAUAGCUAGAAACUCUGAAAACCAUGGGCCUGACUUACUAACAACUAUUCUUUAUAUUAAAUGAAUACCACACUUUUUAGUAAUGCUCACCUUGAUUCACCUAGGAGCAAAUGUUGAUGGAAAUGUGUUUCUGUUUGUCUCUUACUGGAUGAAAGGCUGAGGAUGCAAAGAGGUCCAAUCCAGAAAAUAAACCUAGGCAUAUGUAGCUCAGAUCAGAUCAUUGGCAUUGCCAAUAACACUGGUCCUCUGUUUCAAAGAGGAAAGUAGGGGACUAGAUUUACUCUUCUCUGCUGUUCCAUAAAUGAUUUCUUUAAAAAAAUAUUUUUAUUUUUAAACACUUUGCUCUACAAGUGACAGAUUAGAGAACAGAUUAAUGACCCUUUAUUGUUCUGAUGCUUUUGUUUUUUUUUCAUUUGGUGAAAUGACAAUAAAUUUUAGGAACAAAAUUAAAGGCGCUUAGGUUGGGAAAACUUACAUUGCUUAAGCAGGUUACAUUAGUUACAAAAACACACACCCUUUUUCCCUCCUCAACAAAUGAAAAGAAAAGUAGGCGUGUUUAAUUUUAUUCCCGUCUUUGAAGUUCUCAGCAUUAAGAAAAUGUGGUGAGCUAUUAGCUGAAAUGUGUUUUACAUGCAACAUUUACUGUGACCAAUGUAACACCACUUGUGCAACUUAAAGACUGUCAUAUAUUUUCUUCCCUGAUAAUUUAAGAAAGGAUUAAGGGAGAAAUUCUAUGCAUAAGAAACUAGUAUAAAGCAAGCUACUAUAAGUUAAGCUGGAGUAAAGUUACACCAGAUCCAAAUUCUGUUCAGCGGGGAGGCUGUUGAAGUUGCUUUGCCUAAGCCCAGCACAGGGAAAACUUUAAACUUUAAAAUAGUACAGUGGUACCUUGGGUUAAGAACUUAAUUUGUUCUGGAGGUCCGUUCUUAACCUGAAACUGUUCUUAACCUGAGGUACCACUUUAGCUAAUGAGGCCUCCCACUGCCAUGCGAUAUCUGUUCUCAUCCUGAAGCAAAGUUCUUAACCCGAGGUACUAUUUCUGGGUUAGCAGAGUCUGUAACCUGAAGCGUCUGUAACCCGAGGUACCACUGUAUUCUGCACCAGGUUGCCAGGUCACGUGGCUGAGCUGAACAGACUUGAGAUCCAGCCUCUCUGGUCCCACCUUUGGCAGACCUGCAGAAGGCCCCCUUUUUGGACUUACACCUGUGUCAGCUCAGUCAGCUUCAGCUCAGCUGACCGAGCCCCACUUGAGCCAACAAUAGCAAGUUACAUCAGCGUAUUUUGGCUAAGCCAGCAUCAGGGAUUUCAUGCUGAUCGAGAUCCAGUUGCUCAUUCCAGUGGAUCUUGCCCCCCAAGCCAGAUAUGUGAGAAUCUAAAGGAUAGUGGUUUGCAUAUUGUUUCUGACUAAUCAUGAACCCAAAAUUAAAAGGACAUAUGGGAGGCCCCUUAGACAAGCCACUCCUUGAGCCUUGAUCCUUUGCAUAUGAGAAUAGUAAUGCUAAUGACCUACUGAGUAGAAGUGUCUCCACCCCCAUCAAUAAGCCCAGACGCUGAGGUCCAUCUCUGAGGGUCUUCUGGCAGUUCCCUCACAGGGAACAAGGCAGAGGGCCUUCUCAGUGAUUGCACCGUCUCUGUGAAACACCAUCAGAUGUCAAGGAGAUUAAGAACUACGCAAUUUUUGGAAGACAUCUGAAGUUUUUAACUUCAUUGGGAAGCUUUUAACGUUUGACGUUUUAUUAUGUUUUUAUAUUCUGCUGGAAGCCACCCAGAGUGGCUGGAAAAACCUAGCCAGAUGAGCGGGGUAUAAAUAAUAAUAAUAAUAAUAAUAAUAAUAAUUAUGCAGAUUUGAUGCAUUCAUCUUUAAAUGUGUAUUGGAUCCAAUUUCUGCUCAUGGACCUGAUUCAAAUAUUUCUCCAUGUUCUGUCUGGUUCCUCCAGGGAGUGAUGCAAAUCCACAAGUCAAGCCCCGCAAGUUUAUCAGCCACAAGAGAUGCCAGGAAUCUCUGCAUCUGGGGGUGAACAAUGAGUAUCUGAUCUGGGGUCUCAGCACUGACAUGUGGCAAACCAAAACUGAGUAUGUAUUUAAUUUCAUUUAUUCAUUAUAUGCAUAGCCUGCUUCUCCACCAUCAGGUCCACAGAGUGCCGAAGAACUGAAGAUUCAGUAACAGUUACGCUGCAGUUUUUAAAAGCAGCAAUCAGCCAAUGAAACAAGCAAGAAAAAAGAAGAAAAAGUUUUUUGGGGGGGCCACUUCCAUAGAGAACUUUUUGUGAUCACAACUGACAUUUUCUUGGUACAUAGAUGGGAUUGUUAAAGUCACAUUAACCAUGCUGCUGCUAAGAACCCUUUAUAUAUACAGUGGUGCCUCGCAAGACGAAAAGAAUCCGUUCUGCGAGUCUCUUCGUCUUGCAGUUUUUUCGUCUUGCGAAGCAAGCCCAUUAGCGGUUUAGCGGAUUAGCGCUAUUAGCGGCUUAGCGGGCUUAGCGGAUCAGCUGAUAAGCGGCUUAGUGCCUUAACGGACCAGCUGUUAAGCGGCUUAGCGGAUCAGCUGAUAAGCGGCUUAGUGCCUUAACGGAUCAGCUGUUAAGCGGCUUAGCGGAUCAGCUGAUAAGCGGCUUAGCGAUCAGCUGUUAAGCGGCUUAGCGGAUCAGCUGAUAAGCGGCUUAGCGGCUUGGGAAAAAGGGUUUUGAGGAACAAAACCCCGCAGGAACUCGCAAGACAUUUUCGUCUUGCGAAGCAAGCCCAUAGGAAAUUCGUUUUGCGAAGCACCUCCAAAACAGAAAACCCUUUCAUCUAGCGGGUUUUCCGUCUUGCGAGGCAUUCGUCUUGCGGGGCACCACUGUACCAGACUUGUAUUCACAUCCUCAUCAUGGUCGCUUCCACACUCUCUCACUAGAUAUCUGGAAAUACAGAAAGCUUUCACCCAUGUGCUCCCGCAUUGCAGAACUUAUAUGAAACUCAGGAGUUGUGUCUUCUCCCAGGGGCCUCAGGUCCCAUAUCCUUAUCUCCUAGUAAGGACGUGGGUGGUGCUGUGGUCUAAACCACUGAGCCUCUUAGGCUUGCUGAUCAGAAGGUUGGCGGUUCGAAUCCCCGCGACUGGGUGAGCUCCCGUUGCUCUGUCCCAGCUCCUGCCAACCUAGCAGUUCAAAAGCAUCCCAGUGCAAGUAGAUAAAUAGGAACCACUGCGGCAGGAAGGUAAAUGGCGUUUCCGUGUGCUCUGGUUUUUGUCACGCUGUUCCGUUGCGCCAGAAGCAGUUUAGUCAUGCUGGCCACAUGACCCAGAAAGCUGUCUCUGAAAGCAGAGAUGAGAGUUGCACCCCAUAGUCAAAUUCGUCCAGGGGUUCUUUACCUUUACCUUUUACCUUAUCCCUAUCUCCUAAAUUAUUAUUUACACCUUUGCUCCCACAGCAAAAGCAUGAAGUGUGAAUUGCAAAUAGUUGUUCCUACCUUAACAUUACAUACCAGGUAGACUUGAUCGACUACAUUGCACCAAUGUAGCACCACUGCAUAUACAAAAUUCAAGUGUAAAGCUGUUUGUAUUCUAAAAUUUCCUCUCUCAACCUGCAUCUUCUUGGAGACUGUUCCUGGGUUUCAGCCCCCUAAUGGAAAUGGAAAUGUUUAUUGGUUGGAAGCUACAGUUGCCUUAGUUAGAACAAGCCUGAAAUUUGGUCCCCAUGACUAACAAGGCCCAUCUUGGCUAUGAUUCCAUGAGAGGGGCCUUUGUUCCUUUUGUGUUGUACCUUUGUAAGAUCGCAAGAGGUGUUAAGGCCAUGGAGCAUGCCUUCUGACAGGGCCGGCCCAUCCACGAGGCAGACCGAGGCAGCCGCUUCAGACAGCAGAAUAUAAGGGGCAGCGAGGAGAAGCAGCUGCUGCAGCUUCUGGGUUCCAGUGAGAUCUUGUGAGAGUCCCUCAAGAUCACGUCGAGAGCUCCUUGCUUACUGGGGUCUCGGGAAGGUCGUGCAAGGCCUCUGGAGGCCUUCUUGUAAUCUUGUGGGGCUCUUGUGAGAUCUUCCUGGAAGCUGAAGCUGCAUGACCCAGGUAAGCCCUUCAUGGGCAGGCAGUCCCUUCCUAUUUCUCCGCCUCUACCUGCUGAUCUAGAGAAGCGGGUGGCGCUGUGGGUUAAACCACAAAGCCUAGGAAGGUUGGCAGUUCGAAUCGCCACGACGGGGUGAGCUCCUGCCAACCUAGCAGUUCAAAAGCACAUCAAAGUGCAAGUAGAUAAAUAGGUACCACUCCGGCGGGAAAGUAAACAGCGUUUCCGUGUGCUGCUCUGUUUCGCCAGAAGCAGCUUAGUCAUGCUGGCCACAUGAGCCAAAGCUGUACACCGGCUCCCUCGGCCAAUAAAGUGAGAUGAACGCCGCAACCCCAGAGUCGGCCACGACUGGACCUAAUGUUCAGGGGUCCCUUUACCUUUACCUGCUGAUCUACGAUGUCUCUAGAUUCACAUGCAGCACUUAGGCCAGCCAGUUUUCCUGUGGAGCAAAGAUUCAAAGCUUUCCUUCUCCCCUUUCCAGGGUCAACUACCUCAUUAGCAAGGACACCUGGAUCGAGAGAUGGCCAAAUGAGGACGAAUGCCAGGAUGAAGAAUUCCAGGACUUGUGCAAUGACUUCACUGAGUUUUCCAAUUCACUGAUCAUUUUGGGCUGCCAGGUCUAAUGGCAGGCAUCGGCGGCAGCGAAUGAUUCCCGUGAGAUGGGUUUGAGUCAGAACUUCAAAGACACCUUCCCUCCUGAAGUUCUGCUUCCUAUUCUUUUUGCUCUCCAAGUUCCUCUUCAAAUUGUUUAUAUUGAAAAUAAAGAACCGAUUUCUUACUGCUGGGUCAAGUUAAUUAUUUUCAUUCAAACCUCAGGU